rnacentral:rRNA from 1 species
GCGAAUGAGGGUAGCUUGCUACCUGAUUUAGCGGCGGACGGGUGAGUAAUGUAUAGGGAGCUGCCCGAUAGAGGGGGAUACCAGUUGGAAACGACUGUUAAUACCGCAUAAUGUCUACGGACCAAAGUGUGGGACCUUCGGGCCACAUGCUAUCGGAUGCACCUAUAUGGGAUUAGCUAGUUGGUGGGGUAAUGGCUCACCAAGGCGACGAUCCCUAGCUGGUUUGAGAGGAUGAUCAGCCACACUGGAACUGAGACACGGUCCAGACUCCUACGGGAGGCAGCAGUGGGGAAUAUUGGACAAUGGGCGCAAGCCUGAUCCAGCCAUGCCGCGUGUGUGAAGAAGGCCUUCGGGUUGUAAAGCACUUUCAGCGAGGAGGAAGGGUGUUGUGUUAAUAGCACAGCAUUUUGACGUUACUCGCAGAAGAAGCACCGGCUAACUCCGUG